CGAGAGAUCGUAUCCUUCAGUUCGGCUGGAUCGGAGACAGGUGCUGCAUGGCUGUCGUCAGCUCGUGUCGUGAGAUGUUGGGUUAAGUCCCGCAACGAGCGCAACCCUCGCCCUUAGUUGCCAGCAUUCAGUUGGGCACUCUAAGGGGACUGCCGGUGAUAAGCCGAGAGGAAGGUGGGGAUGACGUCAAGUCCUCAUGGCCCUUACGGGCUGGGCUACACACGUGCUACAAUGGUGGUGACAGUGGGCAGCGAGACCGCGAGGUCGAGCUAAUCUCCAAAAGCCAUCUCAGUUCGGAUUGCACUCUGCAACUCGAGUGCAUGAAGUUGGAAUCGCUAGUAAUCGCAGAUCAGCAU
rnacentral:rRNA from 1 species